AAAAGUUUUUUUUUUAUUUUAAAAUAUAGUUUUAGGCUUCAAAAUCGGCCAGACAAAUCAGAAGGCAAAAAAAAAACAUAUUGAAAAAUAACUUCAAAAUUUUAAUGAAAAUUCAAGUGCAAUCAGCUGAAAUCAAUUUAAUAUGCAUUCCCCUGCGUUCAGAUUUAUUUUUAUAUUAUUUGGGUUUAUUCAAAAUUUUAUUUAUUUUUGAAAAUUUUCGAUAUACAGUACAGCAAUAAGUUUCUUUUUUGGUCAAAUUUUUAAUUACGUCAAACAAAAAACUAAUGAUGGCAAAACAACUGAACUGAGCAAUUAUCUACGAAUUCGGUCUUUUUUACAAAUUCUGAUUUUUGUAUUUUUAAUUCGGCUGAACUUUUGUAAUGACUGUUUUGUGCUUCAUACAAAAAAGUAAAAGUAAUUGUUUCGAAAACGCUACCUUACAAACAAAACGGCAUGGCAAAAAAUAUUUUCAAAAAAAAAAUUGUUCGCUAUACAGCAUUGCCUUGGCGUUCUCGAUUGCGAGAUUCCUACUCGAAAGUAGGUGUCCGAAGGCUUGAUUGUUGAGGCAAUUGCAAACCUCUUUUUACACCUAAGCUUCCAUCCACCCCGGGAUUCGAACUGACGACCUUUGGAUUGUUAGUCCAACUGCCUACCAGCGACUUCACCGAGACAGGACCCAGGGAGACGACUCCUACACCUGGACUGAGCUAACGACCUAACCUUUUAGGUUAGUCCGGGGCCAACAUUUACUUCCCCGUCCGACGGAAGGCGUGAUCAGACAAAUCUCGUCUCGAAAAAUGCCACCGGGACCUUCUGGGAUCGAACCCAGGCCGAUUGGGUGAGAGGCAAUCACGCUUAUCCCUACACCACGGUCCCGGUAAAAAAUAUUUUACUUUAAAAAAAACGGUAGGUUUUUGCAAUUUUCCGCAUAGUAACAGGUGUUUGUUUAUAAAAUUAAUAAAUUUGCAAUAUAGAUUAUGGCGAAUCUGGAGAUUUUUUUAUUUCUGGGUAUCGAGUGUUGCAUUUUAGAAUUUACUGAAAAUACAAGGAUGUUUAAAAUUGGUUCUUAGUUAUAUACAAAUACCUGUCAAAUUCUUUGACUUAGUAUACCCAAGUAUCAAAGGAUUGAUUAAAUCUUUUGGGAGCGUGUUAGAAAACAAGCCACAAAAAGUUCAGCUUUUUAUAAAACUUGAAUUUGAUAUUAUAUUUUAUAUAUUGUUGAAUGCCAAGAGAAUCCCAAAAAAAUUCAACUGAGUUUUUAGGACAUUAUUUGUUUUAAUAAGAGAAAUGCUUUGAAGUAAUAAUGUUAUUUUAAAUACGAGAAAAACACAAAGUGCAAAUAAUAAAAAAACGACAUAUUAUGUUUUCUGAACAAAAUUAUGGUAAUUUUUUUUAAGAAAGAUUCCCUGGCACAAAUUUUGCAAUCCCGAAAAGACGAAAAUAACUUGGAAACAACAUUUUUUGAUAUUUAUAACAAGAUUUGUUAUUCAUCGUUGUGAUUUUUUUGUUAUUGGAUUGUUAUUGUAAUAACAGACUAAUAACACUUUUAAUUAUUCUUCGAACAAAUCUUUGUUAUUAUUUUUUGUUAUUUCAACAACUAAUCCGAUCAUUCCAAUAACAGUUGGAGUAUUCCUCCAUAACAAAAAAUGUUAUUCCAAAGUUGUUUUGGCCAAUAUCAGACCAAUAACAAAUUUUGUUAUGAUAUCAUAAAUUGUUAUUAAAUUCUUAUGUGAAAAUUGAUUUUUCAAGAAGUUUCCAUAACACUUUCUGUUAUUUUAACAGUAUUUGUUAUUGAAAUGGCAUGAAUUAGAUGGAAAAAGAUGGAUAAAACAAUCAUAUUUGAUUUAAACAAUAUAUUUGUUGACAAAACAAAGUAGAUUUUUUGUUUUGUUUGUCAUUUUUUUCAUUCCGAAGGAUGAGCAUACACAACAUUUUAAAGGGCAUGGGUACAUAAAUCGAAACUUAUUUUUAAAAUUAAAAUGAAAUAAGUUGCUUAGUUAUAUUUAUAUAUUCUUAGUAAUAUGCUACAAUAAACGACUUGACAACUAUUUGAUAUAUGAAUGAUUUUAAUAAAAAUAAAGAUUUUUAACUGUAUAUUUUUCUUGAACAAUCCUUUUUUUAAAUUGUAAAUUCAUUUGAAUGUACAAUGAAUGAAUUGAAUGAUUGUAAAACUCUCAAUGAUUGAUUCAAAUUAUUAUUUUAUUAAAUAUAAGAUUGUUUUUUUUACAACCAAUCACAUCACGAUGAUUGAGCUCUGGGUCUUUUCUUGUUAUUAUUUAUGUUACCUAUAUGUAUUUUUGUUUUGAAUAACUGUUUUUUUUUUAAAGAAGUCGGUUUUUGGCGUGGCUGCAUUUCCUACCUAAAAUAAUGUGGAAUAAAUACAAUUCAAUUCAAUUACUAUUACUUUUAAUCCACCAAAGAAAAAUAAUAAAGAUAGAUUAAUUUCAUUGACGUAUAUUUCCUCUUUAUCGAUGUAAUUUUUGUAAUCAAGGGUCAAAUGUGGAAAAUGAGAAUUUAAACAUUAUUUCAGACACAAUUUUAGGUAUUCGAAAAUAAUGGUAGUUAGUUGAAUGUACUUGUGUUAUCGUUGAGUUUAUAUUUUAAAGUUUUUAAGUUUGAAGUUUUUUUAGAUUAUAAAUUGUAAAAUCGCUGCGCAAUUAUUUCCCAACAAUUAGGCUGGUACAAAUAUUUUUAAAAGUUUUUGUCACCCCCUCCUUCAAAAUUGGCCCGAAAAAUCAGGGGGCAAAAAAAAUAUUUUUACAAUAAACUUCAAAAUUUUAAUGAAAUUUCAAGUGCAACCACCUGAAAUCAAACUAAAAUACAUUCUCCUGCGUUUAAAAUCAUUUUUAGCAUGUUUGGGUUUUUUUUUUAAAUCUUAAGAUUUUUUGAAAAUGUUCGAUGCAAAAUCUUUUUUUUUCGAUACAAUUUUUGUUUUUGUCAGAUCUUAGAUUUUUUGAAAACUGAAAUGCCUUUUUCUACACUUUUUUCAUUUAAAUGUGAAGACUAUGGCUUGUUAUUUUUUUUAAUUUUUUUGCCCCCCCCCCCUUGACCUCGGCCAGGACCGAAGGACAAAAACUUUUUUAAAUAUUUGCAUCGGCCUUAGAACAAUGCAAAUAUUUAUAAAAGACUCUUGCCUUGGUCAAGGCGGUGGUGAAAAAAUAGAAAAUGGAAUUACAAGAAAAAAUAGAAAAUGGAAUUACAAGCAAGAAUUUCAACAUUUCAAUAAAACAAAUGUUGGAAAACUUUUUAUACACCCUUACAGUUCAUUUGCAAUCAUUACUUACAUUGAAGUUUUUUUGGUACAUAUAUCGAAAUGUUGAUAAAACUUUUUUACCUAACUUACUAUACUCACAUUGAAACAUGUGAAUUUGUUUAAAUUAGAAUGAUUUUUGAACAAAUUAUUUGUGGGGGAUCAAAAUAUACAUAUAUCAUUAGUACAAAAAGCCUAAGAAAGUUUGAAAUAAAUCUUUACAUUAUAAUCUUUAAAUAAUAAUCACUUUCUAAAUUAAUAAACAUUAUACAUGAUCAUUUAAAAUGGGUCCGCGUGCCAUACUUUGGUCACCUCUGUUAUGUGUAGUCUAAUUAUUCUGUUUUACUGUGAAUCUAGUUCUUUUUUUAAUUCUAUUUAACACAAAAAGUAAUGUGAUAAAUAAUUUGGCUGUGACAAAACAUUUGGUACACAAAUUCUUACAUGCAUGUUUCUAUCAAUCUUGAAUAUUUAUUUGAACAAACUUGAGGUGAUUUUAAACAAAUCUUUUUUUUAAAUGAUCAAUUUCUUGAACUUUAAAAAAAUAAGAGAAUAGAACGUGCAUCAAUCAGUUUAAGGUUUUUUAGUAUUCAGACGAUAUUUUUUUGCAAAAAUUGUGUCAAUUAUUCAAAAAUAUGAAAUUUUUUUGAGUUAAUUUUUUUUCAAAAGAAUUUAAAGCUGAUUUUAAUCACAUGGGUAUUUUUAUAAUGAUGAGAUGCAAGCUAAUAUGGACAUUCCGUUUUUAGUCAUUUUCAAAACUUUUGACUCAUGAUGUUAUAAAUUCAAGAUGACUAUUAUUAGUUUUCAGUUUAGUUUUUUAUAUAUUACAUUUAAAAAAAUAUAUAUUCAAUAUAUUUUUUCAUUUUUUUAUUUUUCUGUACACCCACAGAAUAAAACUUUAUCCGUGUGCCCAUGGCACUUUGGGAGCGUGUCGGAUCCACAACCAAGACAUUGAUGGUUCAAUCCUCGUUUUGUUUAGAUUUUUUUUCUGCAGUAUAAUCGUUGUCGGUAAUGUCGGUAAUUAUCGGUAACGAGCAAAAUUGUCAUACAUCUAUAUCGAAAAAAGGAUCAUAACAGUUUUCAUGCAGAUUCUGAUAUAAUUUCAUGCAGAUUUACAGCAAAAUUAUGCGACCAACGUUUGGGAGUAGUUAAAGAAAAAACAUAUUUGACCAUUUUUAUGAGGUGAUCCUAAUGUCAAAUUAAUUUUGGUGUUUAUAGACCUUCAAAAUGAUUUUGUUUAUUAAACUAUAUGAGUUACUAUACUUAUAUAAAAUCUAAAUACCAUCCUUAUCAAAACUUUUCCAUUAGCUUUAUGACCAUAUUCAUAAUUGUAGACAUUAUCUUCAACUUUGCAGUAUUUUUGUUAACUUCAUUAGAGUAAAUUUCAAUCUAAACUGAGAUUUGUUUAUAAGUUUAGUUCAAUACAAUUUCACAUGUUUUUAAACCAAUUCACUAUCAAGUUUGUUUUUGACGACGUCUGAGUUAAUUUUAGCAGUCGAGUGAAGCUAUGUUAGAGAUAUUAUUAUUAAAGGUUUUUCUAUUAGGUACUUUUUUACUCCAUUUUGGAGAAAAGGUAAACUCAUUGAUCUAUGCUUAUUCUUUUGUGUGAUAGUUAUCAAAAUUUCAAAAUCAUUCAAUUGAUUUUUUUUUUUUCAAUAUUUUGUGAAUGUAUAUUUUUAAAUAUACAUAUUUUCCGACCAUGAGAAAGCACACGGGAAUAUUUAUUUUUCUUAUUACUUGGGCAAAUAUGAAAUCAUACCAAAACUUGUAUGUUGACAACAGUAAAACCGAACCAAGUUAUUCCAACGGUAAAAGAAUUCCAAAAAAUAAAACCAUUUCAGUAUCAGGUUGGGGUUUAUGGACUUUGCAACAUUGCUUGAAUACCGAAACAUGUUAUUGACAUGGUUUUAUUUUUUGGUAUUCCCACGCCCUUUGAAUAUCAGAUUUUGGUAUUGCUGUCGUCUUCUACUUACAACAUUUUGGUAUGAAUUCAUGGUAUUUUACUAUCUAUUACUGGGAAUCCAAGGGCACAAUUUGGUCGGUGUCAUUUACUUCAGUAAUACCUAUAUUUUCUAUUUUCGUGUCGGUUUUCUUUGUCCAGUAUUUUAUUUCUGCGACUGUGAAAAAUCAAAACACAAGAAAUAAAACCUCUUAGUUUCUUAUGUCUCAGGAAAAUCUAGAUAAAUGAUUAUUUGUCCUCAGUGAUAUUCUUCGCCACAUCGAAUACAUAUGGGUCAUUUCCCCCACACAAAGGUACAAAUUCGAAAUCGACUUUUUUGUGAUCAAGCUCAAAUUUGGCCAAGCUAUUUAUACUAUCAAAACAUGCAAGAAACUUGAAUUUCUGCUAAAUUCGACCAUCCCUUCUUUUUUGGCACCGCCCCAGAGUAAUGCGAUUUUUGCCAACUAUCCAAAAAUAAUACUCCUGUUUCUAAAUGGCCAAAAAAUGAAACAAAAAAUGACGACUGACUGUUUCUUUUAAAGAAAUUGGACGUCAUCAGAUUUUUUAUUGGAAUCAAACUUUGAUGCAUUUUACGCAAUUGAAAACAUUACAAGCAAUUUUCUCAACAUUUUAGUUCUAUUGUUCAUAAAAAAAAGUCUGAUAUAAAAGCAAAACAAUGCAUGCACAAAAUAACAAAAAACCAUAAAUGAAAAAUUUCAAACAUGUUCAAGCAAACACAACGCGAUGACGGCUCACUCGAAUUUUGAAUGUUUUUUUUUUUGUCAGAAACAAUGAUGUCAUAGAUCAGAAAAUCCCAAAAAUCGUUUUGUUAUCGCGAUUUACAAAAAAAAUGCCUGUUUUUUCAGUGACAUCGGGUUUUUUUAAUGCACCCAAAUGUACAGUGAUCUGCAAAAAAAAUAUAUAUAUAUCACAAUGAAAGGCAAAUGAUCUCUAUAAAAAAAGUCUAUAGAACUUUUCGUUGAAGAAUACAAAAUAUGAUCAUGCAUAUUUUUUAAAUUGUAUUUUUUGUGUAUGUUUGUUUUUAAAUUUAAGAUAAUUAUGUAAACCUUUCGUUGCAAGCAUAUACAUUUGGUUUACAUUUAAAAAAAGUAUUGAUCUCCUGCAGUGACUUCGUAAAAUCUUAAUUUGGCCGAUGCAAAUAUUUUUAAAAUAUUAAUAUUGAAGAAAAAAAUUAUAAAUGAAUUAACUAACAAUGAUAAAAUAACAUUUUUUUUCUGAAAUCCUCAACUUAUUGAAUCAAUUUACUCGAAAACAAUUUGAAUUGUAGUGAAAUUAUGAUAAACAGUUUCACAAAAUGUUCACUUAGGCCGUUGCAAAUAUUUUUCAAAGUGUAUGUCGCCACCCCUUCAUUGAUGAUCCGAAAGUUCAGAUGGAAAACUACUUAAAACAAAUUAAAUUAAUUAACAUAUUUUGAUAAUUAUUUUUAAGCAUGUUUAAACCAGUUAAAAUGUGUACAGUAAAAAUAACAUUUUUUUUAUUAAAUGUUUCACAACAUGCUUCAAACAUAACAUCAAAUAUUUAUUUUUGGCAAUAUUGUUUUUGCCUCAAUGCUUUUUUUUAGGUUAUGUUGCCUUUCCUUUUUUAUCUAUUUACAGAUCAUUAUAAAUAUUACCAAAAUAUUUACAGGUCUUUGUCAAUUCAGGGUUUUAUUUACCCAUAUUACAUAGAAAGUCCUCAUGAUCACGUGCAAUUUGAAUUUUCUAUUCAAAUCUAUUUCCAUUUCUUGGGCUGCUAUUCUAAACUAGGAGAAAUAUCAUUCAGCCAUAAAAUAAAUAAAUUAGAAAGUGCAAAUUUGCGCGUUAUUCUGGAACCUUCUAAGAGCCGUGCUAUCCCAUAAAUUUCCCGAGCAUGGGUAAAUAACAAGGGAAAUGCGUAAUAAUACCUUUCUCUGGUAUCAAUACCAAAUUUUGGUAUUCCUGGACCCUUUAAAAUUUGUCUUUAGGAUUAUGCAAGAGCAAAAUGUGGUAUCAUACCAAUUUAAGGUAUUGUUUUGAUAUUGCAAAAUUGCAGAAUUUGUCAAUGGUCGAACACCACAUAUUGGUAUUCUUUUGGUAUUACAGUGUUUUAUCGAAUUCCUCUGAAACUAUGGGAAAAUGUUGACCAAUUUUGACAAAAUAAUUAAUUUUGCGCUAAAAUUAUGUCUCAAAGCGAAUGCUUUAAUUGAAAACCGGAAAUUUCAAACUUGAUUUUAAACAUUUUUGAUUAACCCCCUAAAGAAAUUACUUGAAAUUGUGGAAAAUUUUCUAAGUCAGGAUGGUACAUUUUGGUAUUAUUUUGGUAUUAAAGUGUUUUUAUCAAAUUCCUCUGAAACUAUGGGAAAAUUUUGACCAAUUUUGACAAAAUAAUUAAUUUUGCACUAAAAUGAUGUCUUAAAGCGAAUGCUUUCAUUGAAAACCGGAAAUUUCGAACUUGAUUUUAAACAUUUUUGAUAUACCCCCUACAGAAAUGACUUGAAAUUGUGGAAAAUUUUCUAAGUCAGGAUGGCACAUUUUGGUAUUAUUUUGGUAUUGAAAGGUUUCAUCAAUUUUCUCUGAAACUAUGGGAUUUUUUUUACCAAUUUGGACAAGAUAAUAAAUUUUGCGCUAAAAUGAUUUGAAAAAAAAAACCAAAUACUUUGAAAAACGAGUCAAUCGAAAGAUUAUUGAAUUUUGGUGAAUUUCAAUCCAGUUUUAUUUUAAUAACACUUAUUUUUCAAUCUUGUUAUUUUUCAGAAUCUUCAAGAACUUCAUGCACAGGCCGUUCAUCAAUGACAAAUGCAUUCGGUGUGGUGAAGAAUAUCACUAAGAACAACAUGGAAUCAUCAGGUGAGUAGAUUUGGCUGUUGCAUAUGGAUCAUUUCCGUUUUUUCACUAACUGCAACUGCUGCACUAAAAAUGGUAUGAAAAUACCAAAUUUUGGUAUUACUUGUGCAAAUAUCAGCGACCAAAAUGUGAUCUUGGUUGCCCAGUAAUAGAUGCUAAAAUACCAUCAAAUCAUACCAAAAUCAUGUAUGUGGAAGACCACAGGAAUACCAAAAUAUGAUUUUCCAAGGGCGCGGGAAUACCUAAAAUUAAACCAUGGCAAUACCAAGUUUUGGUAUUCAAGCAAUGUUCAAAAAUCCAGAAGACCUCAACUUGGUAUUGAAAUGGUUCUAUUUUGAGGUAUUAUUUUACCCUUGGAAUAACAUGGUGUGGUAUUGUUGUGCCCUUCCACAUACAAAACUUUGGUAUGAUUUCAUGGUAUUUUACCAUCUAUUACUGGGCAACCAAGGGCACAUUUUGGUCGCUGUUAUUUGCUCAAGUAAUACCAAAAUUUGGUAUUCCCGUGUUAUUUACCCCUGCUCGGGUUUAGAAUGUACAGGUAUUUUGUUUUUUUUUUUGCUUGUGGUAUUAUUAUCAUUAUUAUUAACAAUGCUCUUGUUAUAAAAAAUAUUUAAAACAUAAUAAAGCCUACAUCUUGAUAAACAUUUCCAUCCUACUGAACGGCCCGAGCGGUUUAGGCUUUCAGGAUUUUUGUGAUAUUUACUUGUAGAGUCAAAACAGAUCAGUAAACAUCACUUAUCUGUAUAUUACACUUUUUGAAGAUUACAUUUUUGCGGUAACACUUUCAACUUCUACGCGCACGAUCACAUCACUCAACUUUUUGUUGCUAAUUUCAUUAAGACUUUCGUCGAGCCAAUUCUCUACGUUGAAGCCAGACUUGUCCUCCAGACCUCUGCGCCGAGCCAUGCCAGACCCCGAACUCGGCUAAGUCCCGGCGGACUCUUCACAGCGGCUAAGUCCCGGCGGACUGCGGCUUCCACCGCUAAGUCCGGCUGGACUGGGGCCUCUGCUACUGGUGGCUGCUGGCGGGUCCGGCUGGUCUGAGGCUUCUUCUGGAACUGGAACUGGACUGGAGUGGAGCUGGCUGGAACUGACUGGAACUAAUUCUGGAACUAACUGCCCUCCUCAAGAAUUUUGGGGUUUUUAUAGUCAGUCCCCGAAAACUCUACUAAAUUUUGUUCUACUAAAAGUUGUCCGUUCCGAUGAGAAGCAUCGAUGAACCUCAUGAAUUAAAUUGUGCAGACCUCUGCAAUUCUUCAUGACUUUCCGUAUGGUGUAGUGAGUACACCUCAAAAUCUGAAGUCAUGGGUUCGAACCAUUGUCGUGAAACUUUAAAUUAUGUUAUUGGAAUAUCAAAAUUAUGUUCCUCAAAUAUUCUCAAAAAUGUAAGUUAAUAAUGAGAAGGUCGAAUUCUCCAUUGAACAAACAUGCCAAUGAAUUUGGUUAAGCCACACCCUCAAUUUCCCCUGUGGAAAAACAUCGCACAUUCAUAAUUGAAAGCUUAACUAUUUUAUUGAUUGCCUAACAAGUGGCGAAAUUUAAUAAAGGGAUUUUCAGGUGAGGAUGACUCAUGAUCCACACCUGUACAUAAGCUUAAUUAUUUGUCGCGCAACGCGAGUCGACGGGUAAAAUUAUUUAUGCUUGCGUAAGCGCGCAUGGUCAGAACUGUGGUGAGGUUCGAAAAAUGGGCAAAUUUAAUGAUUUAAAUUUGAGGUCGCUGCAUUCCCCCACACUUACCAGCUAGAUGUUUGUAUUCUUGAAAAGCAUUAAGAACAUCUAUCGAAAGUUAUUUGUUGGUUGGAAGAAUAUUCCCAAAGUGAAUAAUUUAAAUUGUGAAAAUUACUUUGCAAAAAAUCAUAAAAAUAUUUAAAUGGCUGGCUAUAAAAAUUUAUUGAAAAAAUUGGUUCGGUUAAUCUCCCCCACACUUAUCAGCUAGAUGAUCGUCUGAAAGAAAUGAUCAUCUAUGGAAAGAAUAUUUUCGGGUGUAGUGAUCGUGCGGUUUACAAUUUGUUCUUCUUGUGCUUUCCUGUAAAUUGUUUUAUAAUUAUAAUUGCUCUUUUGAUUUUUUUACUGUAAAAUUAUUUUCAUUACUCUUUUGAUCUUCUGUCCUGUUAAAUUACCUGAAUUAUCGUUUUGAACUUCUCUAUUAAAAAUAUUUUCGUUGAAACUGAUUUAAAAAAACUUGCAUUUGAAAUUAAUUUUCAUUAUUUAUCCUAAAAAAAUCAUUGCAUUUUUCCCACUGUAAGCUAAAUCUGUUGUAGAACUGUGUUGAUCGGCUGGUUGUUAUCGUUGUCGUCUUCCAUCAAAAUAGUCUUUAUCGUGAGGCUAUUCAUUCCACAGUGACUUGGUCAAUUGAUCAGUUUUCGAGGCUAAGGUGUUGAAUUUCGUCAUUUAGUGCAAUUGUCGUUUCCAUCAUGAAUUGUGCUUCAUAACCCAGCUGUGAGUUGACUAUGGUCAGUUUUGAGAGUGCAUUGACUUCUCAUUUGCUGAGUAUUGUGAAUUGUUCGUAAAUCCAGUAUAUUUGUCCAAAAUUGACUUUUCCAGUUGCUUUGCAUCAAAUGUUUAGGACAUGUUGUUAGUCCAAAAUUGUCUUUUCGUGUAAUUUGCAACUUUGGCUUUUGUAAAUUAAUGACAUCGGAUGAUGUUAUCAUUUGUUUAUCAUGAACUUCUCCUUUUCAAUAGUUUCAGAUGUGCAGUAUGAUCUCAACUUGCAUUUUUGUUGCAUAAUUGAUGUUUCGCAUUUCAAUCAUCUUUGCUUCGCUUAAUUCCACAUUUUGAUUGGUAAUUUGUUUUACGUGAAUGUCUCGUUACUAGAAUUGUGUCUUAAUUCGACUUGAUCCUCAUUGAUAUGACCUUUUACAACAACAUCAACACCGUUACCUGUUCAACCUCCCGCAUGACUUUGCCACUCACCAUCUUGCCAUCACAAACUUCUGCAUACGAACGCGUAGAACUUCUCAGCAUACGAACGCGUCGAUCAUCUCAAGUCGUCUCGUCUCUCGUCUCUGCCAUAUUUUACUUCAGUUUUUAGUUUUGUUUCUCCCACAAAAAUUUCUUACUUGUUUUCUUCGCAUGAACAAUAUUUUAUAAUUUUCAGGAAUCUAUCAUUUAAUUUCUGUGCAAAAUUGAAAUUCAAAUUUACUUACAAUCUUAUAAAUGUUGUUGAUAUUUUUAUAUGAAAUCAGUUCUAUUAUUUUUAAUACAAAAAAAAUCAUUUCUAAUUGACUAUUAUUUUUAUACCUGAAUAAAAAAAAUUACUCUAUAAAGUUUUUCAUUGAUCUAUGCAUCCUAUCAUCUUGUCAUUGCAAUACUGCGCAUGUUAGAAUAUCCUUUCUGUUAACUUUUUAUGAAACUUGUCUGUCACUUUGUGUUUUCAAAUUUGUCAAACCCAUCCAAUAAAUUUGUUUAUUUGAGCAAUUCGCAAUAAAAUGCUGAAUUUGCAAGAUAAUUAGUUGGUUCAAUUAUCAUUCUAAUGAUAUCGUUCUGAUUUUUUUUUCUCUGAAUUUUAUCAGUUUAAAGGUGUUUUUCCCUUGAAGCAUUAUUUUAUCCCUUGAUUUUCCCUUGAAGCGUUAUUUAUCCAUUCCCUUUAAUUUUCAUUUGACUAUCCCCGUAAAGUGCAAAUGUUUUGAAAUGUUUUAACAUAUUGAAUCCCCCCAUGGAUUACAACUGUUUUGAAGCCAUAUUCGACAUAAAAACUCUCCCCAUAGAGUACAAUUGUCUACUUUUUAAUCCCUUUGGCGUUGCUUUAUCAGUUUAUGUAUCCCUAGAUCGGAACUUUUACCGUCCUUUUCGAUCUUUUUAGAUUCCCCACUAUAUACUCACAAAUUUUACCCUUCCUUGAGCUGAAUUCCAUAUUCGUCCUUGUUGAAAUUUGUUGUCUACUUGAUCGUCUUCCAUUGGUUUCCUGUAAAUCCUUCGUAUAAGCAUAAAACAUUCUGAAAAUAAAUUCUUAAUACUUUGUUAAGUAAAUUUUAAAACACAUAUUUACAUUCAACAUUCAUUCUGGGGUGCACCUCCCUUGUCCAAUUAUUCUCACACACAUUCUUAUUUGCAUACAUGUUGUUUUGAAACAUUUAAUAAUCACACCAUCUUCAUUUGCCUGUCGUUCAAAUUUCAUUAUUGUUCAGUCCGUUUGAUUUGUUUUUAUUUGUAGUUAAAAAUUGCGUCAUUGUUUUUCUAAUACCCUGUUAACCCAUUUUAGCUCAAUUAAGUAUAUUCCCAAAAUUGCAACCCAACAGCUUCUUAAUUGUUUUAACGUGUUUCAUCACUGCUUCAUUAUUAUGUUUAUAUUUGAUCAUAAUCGCUUCACGUGUCAAAAAAAAAAUAUGUAUAAACUCAGUACUGGUUUUUUUCUUAAUCUGUUUCUUGUUUAAAUCCCAUCAAUUUUAUCAUUUGUAAAACAUCUUUCAUCACAAUUCAUAACAUUCUUGUUUGCGCAUUUCUUUUUUUUUUUAAAUGAUCAUUCAUAUUUUGUUUAACUCAACAUUCAUUUAUCAUAUCAAAUCAAUCAUAUAUUCUUUUUUCAUGUUUAUUUUUCUAUAUAAAAAAAUCGGUAUUUGUAACACAUUUGUUUGAUUCAUUUAGUUCUCUUGAUAACAAUCGUUUUUUUCUAAUUCAUCAAUCAUAUCAGUUCAAUAAGUUUAUUAUUAUUAUUAUUUUUUUUAAUGUACAUAAAUAAUCCCGUGUGUUAAAAAUAAAUAUUUUCAUUCAUUGUAGUCUUUAGAUAUUAAUCGUUUAUGAUACUAUGUCAUUCAUUGCAUAAAUCACUUAUUUUUUUUACUUUAUUUUAAUUGUACUGUAAUUGUCACUUCAAAAUAUUUUUUUUGUAUUGGAGCAUUUAAUUUUAAAUUAUGUUAAUUGUAUAUUGUUAAAAACAUGUUAAAUGUAUUUUAAUACGAGUAAAUUCUGAACUAUCAUUUAGUGUUAUGUUAAUCAUUAUAUUUUCUUAGUCUAUUAUUAUGUACAUCUUCAAAUUUGUUGCCAUUUUUAAUAGUGGUCGUUUGAUCGCUGUUAAAUUUAACGAUAUCAUAAGGGCCUCGCCACUUAUUUUGUAACUUUUGACCAAUUCCUGUUUGUACCAUUUGUACCAAAACUCUAUCUCCCCACAUUGGUACCCAAUCAUUUGUCUUUUUGUCAUAAAUUUCCUUUCUUUUUUCUUUUGACAAUAUUAAGUUGUUUCUAGCAGUUUCAUGAGCAUCCUUGAAUAUAUCUUUUAUUGAACAAAUAUAGUCGUCAUAAUUUAAAUCUGAAUCAUUGAUUUUAUAAAUUGUGCUUGGUAUUGUAGCUUUUCUUCCAUACAAAAGUUCAUAGGGAGAAUAUCCAGUUGAUGAAUUUUCUGUAGUGUUGUAUUCAAACAUAAAAUAUGGUAUUAAUUCAUCCCAACAUUGUGGAUCUUUGCCAAUAAAAUUUCGUAAAUAAACUUUCAACUCUCUAUUUGAUCUCUCUACUAAAUUAGCUUGAGGAUGAUAUGCACUUGUAACGAUCUUUUUAAUGUGUAAUAUUUUGCAUGUAUGUUGCAAUAAUUUGCUUACAAAGUUUGUACCUCGAUCGGUUACAACUUCUUUAGGAGCACCAAAUUUACAAACAAAGUUUUCAACAAAAGUUCUAGCAACUGUUGCACUUUCUUGGUUUUCCAUGGGAGCUACACUCAAAAAUCUUGUUAAAUCAUCUUGUAUCACAAGUCCACAAUUGUUUCCAUUAUUAGAAAUUGGUAACAUAACCACAUCCAUAUAAAUUUUAUCAAAGGGUUCAUACGAUGUUGUUGUAAUUUUCAUUGGCAUCUUAUUUGCUGGCCAUAUUUUAUUCUUUUGACAAGAAUCACAUUGCUUUACAUAAUUCAAAACAUCUCUUCGCAUAUUUUCCCAUGUAAAUAGAGGACUCAUUCUUUUAAUCAUUCGUUUACCUCCGACAUGACCACCUAACGGUGCGUCGUGAAAAUCUUUAAGCACUUGAUCUCUGUCUUCUGGCUUUACAUAAAUUCGUUCAUUUUCUGUUGCAUAUAGUGUAAAUGAUUUUGAAAGUUUCAUUGCAAAAAAUCGUAAUAAGUUUAGUUCCAACUCUGUUUUAAAUAUUCUAUGAGAAAUAAUUUGUAUAACUGAUGCAUCUUUAGCAAAAUCAGGAUAAUCUUUAAAGCUUUUAAAUAAACCAUCGAAAAAUUCUUCAUUCUUAACUGCUGAACGAUAUGUUCCAUUCAAAAUUAAACCCCAAAUUUUCUUUUGUGGGAAUACACAUAUAUUUUCAUUGGUGUAAUCCUUAAUGCCAUGUGGAAGGUCAAUGUAUUUACUCAAUUCUUUGUGUACCGUAACACUGUUUAAUAUCAUAAAUGUAGCUUCGGCUUGUUCAAAUGGUAUAAUAUUUUUGGAAAAUUUUAAAACGUUAAAAUCGAUAUCUGUAUCUUGGAAAUCCUUGUAGGUAAAUGUUUUAUCGUUGCUAUCAUCGUCAUUUUCUAAAUUUAUGUCAAUUUGUUGAAGUCCAUUCAUAUUAUUAUUCCAAUUAGUGUUGUUUCUAGACAAAUUCUUUCUGUUUGAAGUAUUUGUUGAGUUUUGAUUAUCUGAAAUAUUUUGUCUAUUUUGUUUUGCUUGUUGACGAGUUGUAAUUGCUACUAAUUUUGAUGCUUGUUUAUCAUCUGCAUGAUCUUCAUCAUUAUUUAAACGUGAGAGAAAAU